rnacentral:RNase_P_RNA from 1 species
GGCAGAGAGAGCCCGGCCCCCGUGCCCACACGGGCAUGAGGAAAGUCCCCCCACCGUCCGGACGGGUGACCGGGCGCAAGCCCGGAGUCGGAGACGGCUGGCUCUGGAACAGAAACGAGACCACUCGACCCGACCGAUGAGGUGUGCGAACCCGAGCGCAAGCGAGGGGAGUUGACCCACCGAGGGACGGGAGACGCUACGCGUCUCCGAACGCGAGCGGCGAAGCCGCGAGCAGGGAGACGCGACGCGCCUCGCUGACGGUCGAGAACGGAUGGAACGGCGAAUCCUCACCGGUGCAAGUCCGCCUCGUCAAGGUAGUCCGGACGCGGAGGUGGACGCUCAGCCGAAUGCCGGGCCGAACAGAAGGGGGCUUACUCCUCUCAGCC